AGGUGCGAUCAUAUCAGCACUAAUGCACCGGAUUCCAUUAGAACUCCGCAGUUAAGUGUGUUUGGACAAGAGUAGUACUAGGAUGGGUGACCUCUUGGAAAAUUCUCGUGUUGCACUUC